GACAGAGGUCCCAAGCGUUAGGCGGAAUCACUGGGCUUAAAGCGUGUGUAGGCGGACUUGUAAGUACCUUGUGAAAUCCCACGGCUCAACCGUGGAACUGCUGGGUAUACUGCGAGUCUUGAGCCACCUAGGGGCGAGCGGAACAAGUGGUGGAGCGGUGAAAUGCGUAGAUAUCGUUUGGAACGCCAAUGGUGAAACAACUUGCUGGGGGUGUGCUGACGCUGAGACACGAAAGCCAGGGAGCGAACGGG
rnacentral:rRNA from 1 species